CUACGGGGGGCUCCAGUGGGGAAUAUUGGGCAAUGGGCGCAAGCCUGACCCAGCAACGCCGCGUGAGGGAAGAAGGUUUUCGGAUUGUAAACCUCUGUCCUUGGGGACGAAGAAGUGACGGUACCCAAGGAGGAAGCUCCGGCUAACUACGUGCCAGCAGCCGCGGUAAUACGUAGGGAGCAAGCGUUGUCCGGAAUUACUGGGCGUAAAGGGUGCGUAGGCGGCAUAUUAAGUCAGGUGUGAAAUACUCGGGCUCAACCCGGGGGCUGCAUUUGAAACUGAUAUGCUUGAGUGUGAGAGAGGAAAGUGGAAUUCCUAGUGUAGCGGUGGAAUGCGUAGAUAUUAGGAGGAACACCAGUGGCGAAGGCGACUUUCUGGCUCAUAACUGACGCUGAGGCACGAAAGCGUGGGGAGCAAACAGGAUUAGAUACCCGUGUAGUC
rnacentral:rRNA from 1 species